rnacentral:lncRNA from 1 species
GAUUACUUCUUCCAGUAUAAUGGGAUCGAAGUGCUUAGGUGCUUAGAUGCAUCCUACAUAUUCAUCAUUUUCAAUACUACUUGUUUUAUUUAGUUCCGCCAUAGAAUUUUGUUAUUAUAUUACUUAUUUUCUUUUUCUUUUUUAUAAACAUUGGACCACAACUGGCCGGUCCAUUAGCCUAAUCCCUACAAAUAUGUAGGGAGCGGGACUCGAUCCCUGGUGUGAUGGUGCAUGUCUAUCAGUGAACUUAUCAUUUGCCACUAGACUAAAAUCAC